rnacentral:RNase_P_RNA from 1 species
GCAGAUGGCCAGGCGUUCGCUGCGUCAGAUUCUGGCGGAGAGGAAAGUCCGGGCUCCACAGGACACGAUGGUGGGUAACGCCCACCGUCCGCGAGGACAGGGCAAGUGCAACAGAAAGCAAACCGCCUGAACGAUGCACUUCAUCGAGGUAUGUUGUGAGGCAAAGCCGGCAACGGCUUUCCAGGUAAGGGUGAAACGGUGCGGUAAGAGCGCACCAGCGAUUCAGGUGACUGAGUCGGCUGGGUAAACCCCAUCGGGAGCAAGGCUAAGCAGAAGGAUGGGUGUCUUCGGGCGCACACAAUUCGGUUCGGGUUGAUAUUCCUUCGGGUCAGCUGCUGGAGGUGUCGAGCAAUCGGCAUCGUAGAUAAAUGAACGUCCGCGACGGGUAACUGUCGUUGACAAAACCCGGCUUAUCGGCCAUCUGUAGAC